GCUGGGCGUGGUGGUGCAUGCCUGUAAUCCCAGCUACUCGGGAGGCUGAGGCAGGAGAAUCGCUUGAACCUGGGAGGCGGAGGUUGCAGUGAGCCAAGAUGGCACCACUGCACUCCAGCCUAAGCGACAGAGUGAGACUCUGUCUCAA
rnacentral:SRP_RNA from 1 species